CUAACCCUCUAUAUAUAACAACGCGUAGACCUUAUUAAGUUUCUCAUACCCGCUUAAUUCAUUGAUUCAUUCAAUUUUUGUUCAUCGUUUUCUCUAGAUCUCCCUUUUAUAUCGUCGUAUCGGAGGUUUUCCGAUGAAGAUCGUAACAGAUCUGCUUCCGAUCUAAAGAUCGGCGUCUUAUACGAAGAGAUCCAGAGGCUCCGGUUGAUUCCUCGGCAGAAGACGGAACGUCGCGGUCGAGCUCCGAAGAUCGGUUGAAGAACUGGUAAUUAUGGCUUCUCGUAACUGGAUCUGAUAAUCGAUUCGUUUAAUUCGAUUGAAUUCUUUGUAAUUAUGAUAUUUAUUCGGUGAUUUAAAAUUCCAGAUCUGAUCUUAGAUCAUGAAUCGGCCUCGAGGUUCGUCAGAUGUACGAUAUGCUCUCUACUGAGCUUGUGAUUAGGUGACGAUUUCGUCAAUUAUUGAUGGAGCUAGAGAGAGAGGAGAGAUUGAAGAAGAGAGAAGAAGCUGAUAUGUGAUAUUGAUGUGAGUUAAGUUGAUUGAUGGAUGUAUGAGAUGUUUAUAGGGACGAUAUAGUUCUGAAUAAACAUCUUUGUCAUCCGACCUUUGCCAUGACAGGUGCGCUUGCAUGGCAGGUCACCAAAAAUCCUUAAUAAAAAAAAAAGUUUCGUGGUUGUUGAGGGGAGUUCGCACGGGGGAUUUUUUUUGCCCGGGUUCUCCCCUCUCGUGUGUGUGUGUGUCUUGCUUCUCGCUCUUUCACACUCUGAUUCCUUUGAUCUCCAUUCGUUCUCAAAAAUUCUCUGAAUACCACAGAAAUAUUCUCGAUCCGGAUCUUAAGAUCAGCGGAUCUGGAGACAAGCUGGCCUAUUCAAAAUCCAACAUCCACCAACAAACAAAGGUACUUUUAAUUUGAGUUUUAAUUCUACGUUUUAUUCUUUUAUUUGCAUCAUACAGUAUAACAAAUCUGACUCCCAGUAUUCAUAACAACUUCGAAUCAUCGGGUUUAAUUUUUGUGCACUCAUACUCAAAAUUCAUUGUUGCAAAUCAUUAUUCUCAAAAUAAUUUCACUAAGUAAUCAUGGAAAAUUAAAUUGUUUUGUCGAUUACCACCAUGUUUGUUAAUUUCGGAAAUGCAAUUGUAUAUGUAUGCACUUUAUCGAUCUUCUAUUGUUCGUAGUUUUUUUUUGGUGUAAGUAAAGUCAUUCAUCGAUCUACUAUUGUAUAAUACCUACAUAAAGUAUCAGUAGUGAAAUUUCUUUGCCCAAUUCUACAGAAUUUUAUUUUAUUUAGUAAUUAUAGAGUCGCAUAUGUUAUUUAUAUGACCUGGAUUUGCUCACGGCUGCACUGUCAAGAGCUAUGACUACAAUAGCUAGCUUCCGGAGAAGAAAUAACAUGAGUAUCGAAGGUAUCUGAUUUUUUUUGGUAUGAUGGCGGUUGGACUCAAUUCGAACCUGUAGCUUUGUUUCGAUUAAUCUUUACUUUGAAUUAUCGUUGUAUUUGUUCAAUAAGUUUGCUUUAGACUUUUGCACUCUGAUGGGAUCAUUCAAAUAACAUUAAUUCAGUUUCAAUUCUAUGCAUUGAUCUUUGAUUUAUGUCAUGCAACUUUGUGGUUUUACUGUUUCAAAUUAUUUCCAUUUGACGAUUUAUACAUGUUUCAAGUGUCACAAGUUUGAUUUUUGUCUAAUUUGGUACUAUUAUAGACUCUGCAACCAUGGGCUUUCGUCUUCAUGAUGUUUCAAGUGGGGAGAAAGAUUGGAGCAACUAUAUUAAAAUGAAUGUCGGUAGCCUAUGGACUUAAACCAAAAUGGACAAAGGUUUGACCUAAUAGAUCUGUAAGCUCAAAAUGGUAGAGCUCUCGUUAUGAGAGGUUGGUGGUUCGAAUCCACCCAGAUCUGUCUGCUUUCUACCCUUUUUCACCUUAUCAUGUCAUUGGAUAAUCCUAAUUUUGAAUUUAAGUUAGGGAAUAUGAUUGACCUAUCGGCUGUUAUUGCUAAAAUUAUCAAGUCUCUUUUUACCUGAGCAACCGGCACGAAGGAAGGUGGAAUGAAGCAUCGUUAAAGCAACGGCGACUAUACAUUGAUAUUCUGUCUAGAUGUGUUAUUUGGAUUACAAGCAACUAAGCAAGGACCAUAAUUCACUCCCACAGGCCACAGCCAUAAAAGUCAUAUUUUUAUGAUUAGCCCUAACUAAUGAAAGAUGAUUGCAAAAUUCUGUUCAUCACCUUUUUUUUUUUUUUGAAAACGAUUCUGUUCAUCACCUUUGGGAUAUAAAUCAAGGCUAACUCGUUCACAAUAAUUGAAGUUAUCCCAUGUUUUGCUUGUUAAAGUAAAUUAAUUAUGUAUUAUAUUUGCAGUGACAAAAUAAAUUGUUAUGCUUUCAGGGUACAAGAAGAUCUGAACCAAGGCAAUGAACGAGAAAGUGCAUAUGUGCGGGGCGGAGGAGGCUAGAGAUUAUAGAGGAACUGAACAGGUUAUUGGCAGAACUUCUUUGUAUUUGCUGGUCCACAGAGAGUUUCGUGACUUGCGUUUUGACAACGUUAAGAUUUGGUCGGACUAUAUAGCUGCUUUUGAAGCGGUUAACAAUCCGAUUAAAUGGCCGCGAUACCGUAAUUUUGUUAGUCGUAUAAAACACGCUUUAUCCGAUUAAAUGGCCGCUUCAAUCGUCUCUUUCUUUUUAAUUUUUAUGUUUUAGAGAUGUAUGGCUCUGUUUUUUAUUUUAUGUGGUUUACAAACUCUGUUUCAAGUUCUUCGUUUACAUUUUGAAAUUAAACUAGACGACAAAAAAAAUUGAAAAUUAUUCUUUCAAUUUAGUAUGAAAUUAAGAUAAUUCAUAAAAAGAAACUAUUCCGAAAAUGUAUAUAUAGAUAUUGAUGUGGUAACAACAACA
rnacentral:lncRNA from 1 species